rnacentral:rRNA from 1 species
CCUACGGGAGGCAGCAGUAGGGAAUAUUGCUCAAUGGGGGAAACCCUGAAGCAGCAACGCCGCGUGGAGGAUGAAGGUUUUCGGAUUGUAAACUCCUUUUGUUAGAGAAGAUAAUGACGGUAUCUAACGAAUAAGCACCGGCUAACUCCGUGCCAGCAGCCGCGGUAAUACGGAGGGUGCAAGCGUUACUCGGAAUCACUGGGCGUAAAGAGCGCGUAGGCGGGAUAGCAAGUCAGAGGUGAAAUCCUAUGGCUUAACCAUAGAACUGCAUUUGAAACUGGUAUUCUAGAGUAUGGGAGAGGUAGGUGGAAUUCUUGGUGUAGGGGUAAAAUGCGUAGAGAUCAAGAGGAAUACUCAUUGCGAAGGCGACCUGCUAGAACAUAACUGACGCUGAUGCGCGAAAGCGUGGGGAGCAAACAGGAUUAGAUACCCCGGUAGUC